CAAAUGGAUUUUUUCAAAUCCAAUUUACACAAACACAAAAAGAGAG
rfam:Cavia porcellus supercont2_107 genomic scaffold, whole genome shotgun sequence.